UACAGAGGUCUCAAGCGUUGUUCGGAUUCAUUGGGCGUAAAGGGUGCGUAGGCGGCGCGGUAAGUCGGGUGUGAAAUCUCGGGGCUUAACUCCGAAACUGCAUUCGAUACUGCCGUGCUUGAGGACUGGAGAGGAGACUGGAAUUUACGGUGUAGCGGUGAAAUGCGUAGAGAUCGUAAGGAAGACCAGUGGCGAAGGCGGGUCUCUGGACAGUUCCUGACACUGAGGCACGAAGGCCAGGGGAGCAAACAGG
rnacentral:rRNA from 1 species